rnacentral:tRNA from 1 species
GAGGGUAUAGCUCAGUAGUAGAGCACAUGUUUAGCGUGCAUGAGGGCAUGGGUUCAACCCCCAGUACCUCCU